UCCCCUCCUGUUCCCUGAUUAAGAGGUGAUGACCACUCCACUCCACUACCAUUGUCAACUCUCUCAUGAGUUGAACUGAAGCAAUAUCUCAUGUGCCCGCUCAUUCACUGGCACAUGAAAUGUUUCCUCUCCAAGCACUUCAAAUCCUAUCCUGCACUGGUCAAGCCUCUGAACACCUCAACUCAUGCCUCACACCCUCAUUCAAUCACUGCUGUGAUCUCUUUCCGACACUGUGUGGCAAUAAUCAUUCCCCAAUCAGUCACCAACCAGUCAUCAAUCAGAAGACACACCUCUUCCUGUUCUCAAUACCCUAUCACAACCUCUCUCCUUUGGUUUUAAAACCCUGUCAGUUGAUUUCUCUGGCGCUUAAUCUCUGUCAAUGCCAUCUGUCUGUAGAUAUCUUGUUUGGUUUUUGCAACUACAUGUCACUUUGUCCCUACCUGUGAGUAUUGGUUUUGUUAUGGCGUUUGUUUGACGGUGGGAAAAGGGGGUACCAAGAUAAAUCGCCCAUGGGCAUACAUUACCCGUAGGAAUACUUUGUAUAAAAACACUAGUUAGAACUGGGCGAACCACCCGCUGUAUUUUUGGUUAGUUAGCUGUUGGUGAAAUAGGCUAGUCUAGUUUAGGGGUGUUUUUGGAUAAUUAUUAUUUAUUUCCUUGGGUCCAGCUCAGCCCCUUUAUCCUGCCCCCCCCCAUUACCGUGUGUUUUCAAAUAAACCAUGAGUGUUUGACGGUAAUUUAGUUGUUUGUGGCUAUUUCGUUCACUCUUUUUCACUACUAUAAUUUGCAUGAGUUAUGUUACGGGUCUCGUUACCAUCCCCCCUAGACUGUCGGGCCAAAGGGAUUCGUAACACGCACGCAAAGUGGUUUGGAACUUUGACUAUCUAGCCGAGGAAGAGGCGAGAAGCUCACAUCAGACCAUCACUGUUACAGCUGAUUAGCUGUCUGAAGUCAGAUAGAGAAAAUCUAAUCUAAGUGAGACUAUCCAACUACGCUCAUCACCAAUGGGAACCAUCAACAUGGCUGGUUAUCUUUCAGAGUGAAAAACAGUAGAAGAGCGUAGUAGGAUAGAGGGAGACCCCUUUCGGACAAUGAGUCAUACAGCUGGAAGGCCAUCAACUUUCCGAGAAGUCUUGGUUGUGGAACUUAGAUGUACUGUACGCAAAGCUGGCAUCAAGGCAAAGGGUGGCUACGUUGAAGAAUGUAACAUAUAGAUUAUAUUUUGAUUUGUUUAACAUUUUUUUUGGUUACUACAUUAUUCCACAUGUUAUUUAAUAGUUUUGACGUCUUCAGUAUUAUUCCACAAUGUAGAAAAGUUUUUAAAAAUCAAUAAAUGAAAUUAGUAGGUGUCCAAACUGUUUUGUUUGUCAGAAUCCUUGCGGCACUGUUUUGGAUGAGCUGUAGUUUAUGAAUUGAAUUUGCAGGCAGGACCCCCAUGUAAUGCUUUCCCAUAUUCAAUUCAGGAGAAAAUGAAUGCAUGGAUUAGCUCAGAUGAAUGUUUUACAGACCGGACUAAUGUGGCAAUUGAAGGAGAGAGCAGAAUUGAAUUUCACACUCAAAAUAGUGAUGACUGAGGAGAGGUGAAUGAUGUGGUUAUUUAUGACAGGGUGGAUGCUGAUGGAGUUGGCGAUCUGCUGGGGGUUGCCUAUUAGCAUUGCCUCUGUUUUGCUGCUGUUGAAUUGGAGGAAGUUGUUCUGGAUCCAAUAUUUUGCCUCUUCCAGACAGUUGGACAAUGUUGACAGAGCAGAUGUUGUGUCAGGCUUUGUUUUAAUGUACACGUGUGUGUCGGGGGCAGAGAGGACAGGCUGUGCUCACUCUGCUCCAGGGGAGAGGUAGAGACAGAGCUGCAUUUCCUAUUACACUGUGACAAAUACCCAGACCUAAGAGAAUAUUUCUUUCCCAAAAUUAUAAUUCAAUACAAAGAAUUUGAAACUAUAAAAGAUGAAGAAAAAAUCAAAUAUUUAUUGGGUGAAAAGCCAAAAUGUGCAGUUUUGGCAGCCAAAUAUGUGUCCUCCUGCCACAACCUGAGGGACAGCCAGUGAAAAGUGCAAAGUAAUGUUGAUAAUAUUUCCCGUUUUGUCUUUCAUACCAGGUCAUGUGUCUUCUCAGUCAUGUUGAGACUGGCUUACUACUGUUGCUUUAAUGUAUUGUUGUUCUGAUUAAUAUUGUUGUUGUAGUUGUUGUUAAUGGUAAUCCCAUGUCCACUACUACUAUUAUUAUUGCUGUUGG